UAGGACAUGUCAUUGUCCACAUCGUCAAGAUAAGAGGAGAAUGAAGGCAUCCAGCUAAGGAAUCUGAAGACCACUGGACAAAUGAGACAUCUAGAAAAAAAAAGAAAAAAUCAUGCAGAUAAAAUUUUCCAGGAAACGGACUUAAAUUGGAGUAUUAUUAUAUCAAAUCUCCAACAGGAUAAAAUUUCAUAAAUCUUUCCAAAUGCUUGUUCUGCUUUUCUCUACAGACAUAUAAUACAAAUGGUCUUUUUGUAGUCCCAUUUCAAGUAAAAAUUAAAGCUGACUGUG